UAAUACGUAGGGUGCAAGCGUUGUCCGGAAUUACUGGGCGUAAAGGGUUUGUAGGCGGUUUUUUAAGUCAGAUGUUAAAGCUCACGGCUCAACCGUGGGAUGCAUUUGAAACUGGAGAACUUGAGUCAAGGAGAGGAAAGUGGAAUUCCUAGUGUAGCGGUGAAAUGCGUAGAUAUUAGGAGGAAUACCAGUGGCGAAGGCGACUUUCUGGACUUGUACUGACGCUGAGAAACGAAAGCAUGGGUAGCAAACAGG
rnacentral:rRNA from 1 species